GACGAACGCUGGCGGCGUGCUUAACACAUGCAAGUCGAACGCGAAAGGGUAGCAAUACCUGAGUAGAGUGGCGAACGGGUGAGUAAUAUGUGGGUAAUCUGCCUUGGAGAGUGGGAUAACCUGGCGAAAGCCGGGCUAAUACCGCAUGAAGUUUGGUGAUUUUCGGAUGAUCAAACGAAAGGAUGGCCUCUAUUUAUAAGCUAUCGCUUCAAGAGGAGCNCACACCCUAUCACGCUUGUUGGUGAGGUAAAGGCUCACCAAGGCGACGACGGGUAGCCGGCCUGAGAGGGUGUCCGGCCACACUGGAACUGAGAUACGGUCCAGACUCCUACGGGAGGCAGCAGUGGGGAAUUUUUCG
rnacentral:rRNA from 1 species